rnacentral:rRNA from 1 species
CCGAUUGAAUGAUUUAGUGAGGUCUUCGGACUGGUGCUCGGAGCGGCUUUCGGGUCGCGCCGGUGUACCGGAAAGAUGACCAAACUUGAUCAUUUAGAGGAAGUAAAAGUCGUAACAAGGUUUCCGUAGGUGAGCCUGCGGAAGGAUCAUUACCGACGAAUAGUCACGGCUGUGACAAACCGUCAAAUAUUUUUGUCUCUUAUGUGACCGACGAAGAUAGCUGCGUGUCCGGGACGUUUAUCUCGGCGCCGGCAAUGUUGGUCCGCAAAUAACAUUUCGUUCGGGUACCCUUUUUCCCGCAGAUGGUGAGCCUCCCCGGUGAGGCGUUUGAGACGCGAUCUCGAACUCUGCGGGGGUGUUCGUUUCCGAGAGGAAACGUUCGCUAUGGAGAAUGAGCGACAGACAGUCGUCUCCCGGACUUGGGGAACACGCUGGUCAAUGGCCCGGGGAGAGCCCACCGACGUCCACAGACGGAGGUGCCUUCGUGUUCCCCACAAUCCCACAAUCUCCUCAACCUUUUUCACUUUGUCACCGAUGUCACCGACAGUUACUUAAAAAAAUGUACAAAUCUGAACACUAUGAGCGGUGGAUCACUCGGCUCGCGGGUCGAUGAAGAACGCAGCCAGCUGCGAGACUUGGUGUGAAUUGCAGGACACAUUGAGCACUGAUCUUUCGAACGCACAUUGCGGCCCCGAGUCAUUCCCGGGGCCACGCCUGUCUGAGGGUCGGAUCUAUAUGUAGUCCGAGAAGGGCUGGUGUGACCGAUAUCCUCGACCUGGCUCGGAGGACGGUCUGAAAAUGAGUCUACGGGCCAAUGUGAAAAGUGUGUACUUUCCAGCGCGAAAUGAGAAUCUGUUCUUUCAUACCGUCGCUGGUUUGACUCCUUUCCAUUUACGGCAGAACUGACGUUUUUAUAUAUAUUUAUGUCGACCUCAGAUCAGACGAGACUACCCGCUGAAU